rnacentral:rRNA from 1 species
AUGGACAGAUCAACUGCAUCGCAGCCAAAUGAAUCUCAAAAAGAAUCAGUGGGCAAACCGAAGGGAGAAGGAACUGAAAGCUGCAUCAGCGUCGUGUGGCCGGCGGCCACUGUCGCUCUUCCCCGUUGCAGACGAGGGGGCGGGGCAGAAGAGGUGAUCGCGGUAGCGAAUGGGAGGGGGGGGGUGAUGAGAAAAUGGCGACUGCGGAAGCGGACGAGGGGGCCGGCGGUGGACGGCAGAGGCGAUUGCGGCGGACGGCGGAGGCGGCGAACGACUGGGACAAGGGGAAGGAGCGCACCUGAGCCGACUCAUCUGCGUGGUCACCUCUCGUCCAGGAGCCGAGAUAGUGUCGUUGGAGCCGAGCGUGUCAGCAGAUGCGAUCGGGUACGCACAGGAGGAGGUUUGCAGCCGGUCUCCACCGAAUUUUUUUUCGCCUGCCACGCGAGGCAACUUUGGGCCGCGGCCUGCUACGCGCCGCGCGAACAAAGAAAGUCCGACGGCAUCGGCGCGACCGAUCGGCCCUUCUUCUCUCUCGACGACCAACGUAUCGAGGAGUGCGAUGAUGGGGACGGGCUGCCCUGCCCCGACGACCUCGUCGACGAGGCCCUCAUCUCCUCCCUGCCCGUCCUGGACGACAACUUCCUAGAGGCCCUCGGAGUCGACUGCUCGCCGCCGGCGCCCAUGGAUGUGGACGUGGACCUGCGGGUCACCCGCAGCCCGGCCGCCGGCCCCAAGACCAACUCCGGCGGUGCGUUCCCGCGCUGGGACGUGCCCACGAAGCCGCGCCGCCGGCCGCAAGCGGCCCUGUUGAGUUCGAGUUACAGCAGCGACGGCAACGCCGACGACUUGGGUGGUGGCCGGCGGCGGUCGGCGGGGCGGAAGCGGGACCAGGCGCCGGAGGACCAGGAAUGCGGGCACUGCCACACGACGGACACGCCGCAGUGGCGGAACGGGCCGGACGGGCCGGGCACGCUGUGCAACGCGUGCGGCAUCCGGUUCAGGAUGGGCAGGGACAAGCUGGUGCCGGAGUACCGGCCGUCGACGAGCCCAUUCUUCCGCAGCGGGGAGCACUCCAACCGCAACAGCAAGGUGCAGAAGCUCAGGGAGAAGAAGGUGAAGGCCCUCAAGCUCUACGGCGAUGGCGGCAGCUCCGGUGCACCUCGUGGCGCCAUGACGCUGGCGAAGGUCGCCGGCAAUGUAGAUACUCGUUCAGUUCUUUAG